rnacentral:rRNA from 1 species
AACGAACGCUGGCGGCGUGCCUCAGACAUGCAAGUCGAACGAGAAAGUUCCCUUCGGGGAGCGAGUAAAGUGGCGCACGGGUGAGUAACACGUAGGUAAUCUACCUUCGGGUGGGAAGUAACCAGGAAACUGGGCUACACCGCAUAAUGCAGCGGCACCACAUGGUGACAGUUGUUAAAGCGGGGGAGUUUUAGGUACCUCGCGCCUGAAGAGGAGCCUGCGGCGGAUUAGCUUGUUGGAAGGUUAACGGACGUUACC